rnacentral:rRNA from 1 species
UUUCCUACGGGGGGCAGCAGUGAGGAAUAUUGGUCAAUGGCCGCAGGGCUGAACCAGCCAAGUCGCGUGAGGGAUGACGGUCCUAUGGAUUGUAAACCUCUUUUGUCAGGGAGCAAAGGGCGCCACGUGUGGCGUUUUGCGAGUACCUGAAGAAAAAGCAUCGGCUAACUCCGUGCCAGCAGCCGCGGUAAUACGGAGGAUGCGAGCGUUAUCCGGAUUUAUUGGGUUUAAAGGGUGCGUAGGCGGACUGUUAAGUCAGCGGUAAAAGCCCGGGGCUCAACCCCGGCGAGCCGUUGAAACUGGCG